rnacentral:rRNA from 1 species
UUGGCGUCGAGCGGCGGACGGGUGAGUAAUGCUUGGGAAUGUGCCUUAUGGUGGGGGACAACAGUUGGAAACGACUGCUAAUACCGCAUAAUGUCUUCGGACCAAAGUGGGGGACCUUCGGGCCUCACGCCAUAAGAUCAGCCCAAGUGGGAUUAGCUAGUUGGUAAGGUAAUGGCUUACCAAGGCGACGAUCCCUAGCUGGUUUGAGAGGAUGAUCAGCCACACUGGGACUGAGACACGGCCCAGACUCCUACGGGAGGCAGCAGUGGGGAAUAUUGCACAAUGGGCGCAAGCCUGAUGCAGCCAUGCCGCGUGUGUGAAGAAGGCCUUCGGGUUGUAAAGCACUUUCAGUAAGGAGGAAAGGUUAAGUGUUAAUAGCACUUAGCUGUGACGUUACUUACAGAAGAAGCACCGGCUAACUCCGUGCCAGCAGCCGCGGUAAUACGGAGGGUGCGAGCGUUAAUCGGAAUUACUGGGCGUAAAGCGUACGCAGGCGGUUU